rnacentral:misc_RNA from 1 species
UCCCCGUUACCGAGGCAGUCUGACUAGAUAUAUACAACUAGCCACGAGGGUUGCGCUCGUUGAAGGACUUAACCUAACAUCUCACGACACGAGCUGACGACAGCCAUGCAUCACCUGUCACCGAGUUCCUUGCGGCACAUCCGCCUUUCGGCGGACUUCUCGGGAUGUCAAGCCUUGGUAAGGUUCUUCGCGUAGCCUCGAAUUAAACCACACGCUCCACCGCUUGUGCGGGUCCCCGUCAAUUCCUUUGAGUUUUAAGCUUGCGCUCGUACUCCCCAGGCGGGAUGCUUAACGCGUUAGCUUCGCUACCGAGCCGGUCGAUAGGCCCAACAGCUAGCAUCCAACGUUUACGGCGUGGACUAC